ACUAAGUCCAAGACGAGCAAAGCCAUCAUGGUUAAUUAGGAGUUGUUGCUAUUGGGAUUUAGUUGGUACCAAUUUUAUGUUGUGGGAAAAUGUAAAUGGUUAAUUUUGAAGAUUUAGCUAUAUCUAUCUUAUGACUAGUACUAUUAAGCAGUGAUGAAUGUCUUAUGUGUUUUUCUUAUGGGAUGAAUGGACAUAUUUGAGCUCUAUUUACUCCCAAGUAUAUGUAUCAAAUAUGUUGGGGUUUUGUUAUUUGUAAUUAUAUUAGUGAUGUUUUA
rnacentral:misc_RNA from 1 species